GACGAACGCUGGCGGCGUGCUUAACACAUGCGAGUCGAACGGAAAGGCCUGCUUUCCCUUGUGGAUUGCGGGUACUCGAGUGGCGAACGGGUGAGUAACACGUGAGUGAUCUGCCCCCAACUUGGGUAUAAGCCUGGGAAACUGGGUCUAAUUCCCGAUAGGACUGCAGGGUGGUGCCUGUGGUGGAAAACGAUUUUCUAGUGGUUGGGGAUGAGCUCGCGGCCUAUCAGCUUGUUGGUGGGGUAAUGGCCUACCAAGGCGGCGACGGGUAGCCGGCCUGAGAGGGUGGACGGCCACAUUGGGACUGAGAUACGGCCCAGACUCCGACGGGAGGCAGCAGUGGGGAAUAUUGCACAAUGGGCGGAAGCCUGAUGCAGCGACGCCGCGUGGGGGAUGACGGCCUUCGGGUUGUAAACUCCUUUCGACCGCGAGGAAGCCACCUGGUUGGAAGGGUGGUGACGGUAGUGGUAGAAGAAGCACCGGCUAGCUACGUG
rnacentral:rRNA from 1 species